rnacentral:rRNA from 1 species
GACGAACGCUGGCGGCGUGCCUAACACAUGCAAGUCGAACGGGGUCAGCCCUUCGGGACUGACUUAGUGGCGAACGGGUGAGUAACGCGUGAGAAACCUACCUUUCAGUGGGGGACAACAGUUGGAAACGACUGCUAAUACCGCAUAAUGUUAUUUGGGGGCAUCCCCGGAUAACCAAAGAUUUAUUGCUGAAAGAUGGUCUCGCGUCUGAUUAGCUAGUUGGUGGGGUAACGGCCUACCAAGUCGACGAUCAGUAGCCGACCUGAGAGGGUGAUCGGCCACAUUGGGACUGAGACACGGCCCAAACUCCUACGGGAGGCAGCAGUGGGGAAUAUUGGGCAAUGGGGGGAACCCGUGACCCAGCAACGCCGCGUGGAGGAAGAAGGUUUUCGGAUCGUAAACUCCUGUCCUCAGGGAAGAGCAGAAGACGGUACCUGAGGAGGAAGCCCUGGCUAACUAACGUG